GUGCGUAGGCGGGCAGGUAAGUCAGUGGUGAAAUCCCCGAGCUUAACUCGGGAACUGCCAUUGAUACUAUCUGUCUUGAAUAUUGUGGAGGUGAGCGGAAUAUGUCAUGUAGCGGUGAAAUGCUUAGAGAUGACAUAGAACACCAAUUGCGAAGGCAGCUCACUACGCAUAUAUUGACGCUGAGGCACGAAAGCGUGGGGAUCAAACAGGAUUAGAUACCCUGGUAGUCCACGCCCUAAACGAUGCAUAUUUGGUGUGGGUCAUUCAGUUGAUCCGUGCCGGAGCUAACGCGUUAAAUAUGCCGCCUGGGGAGUACAGUCGCAAGGCUGAAACUCAAAGGAAUUGACGGGGGCCCGCACAAGCGGUGGAGCAUGUGGUUUAAUUCGACGCAACGCGAAGAACCUUACCAGCCCUUGACAUGUCCCGUGUGGGGUCGAGAGAUCGGCUUCUUCAGUUCGGCUGGCGGGAACACAGGUGCUGCAUGGCUGUCGUCAGCUCGUGUCGUGAGAUGUUGGGUUAAGUCCCGCAACGAGCGCAACCCCCAUCUUCAGUU
rnacentral:rRNA from 1 species